AACGAACGCUGGCGGCAUGCCUAACACAUGCAAGUCGAACGAGACCUUCGGGUCUAGUGGCGCACGGGUGCGUAACGCGUGGGAAUCUGCCCUUCGGUUGGGAAUAACUGAGAGAAAUUUCAGCUAAUACCUUAUAAUGUCUUCGGACCAAAGAUUUAUCGCCGAGGGAUGAGCCCGCGUAGGAUUAGGUAGUUGGUGGGGUAAUGGCCUACCAAGCCGACGAUCCUUAGCUGGUCUGAGAGGAUGAUCAGCCACACUGGGACUGAGACACGGCCCAGACUCCUACGGGAGGCAGCAGUGGGGAAUAUUGGACAAUGGGCGAAGGCCUGAUCCAGCAAUGCCGCGUGAGUGAUGAAGGCCUUAGGGUUGUAAAGCUCUUUUACCCGGGAUGAUAAUGACAGUACCGGGAGAAUAAGCUCCGGCUAACCUCGUGCCAGCAGCCGCAGUAA
rnacentral:rRNA from 1 species